GGAGAGGUGGCGGAAUGGUAGACGCGCUACUUUGAGGGGGUAGUGGGAGUUUCCCGUGGGAGUUCGAGUCUCCUCCUCUUCA
rnacentral:tRNA from 1 species